rnacentral:rRNA from 1 species
UACGAAGGGGGCUAGCGUUGUUCGGAAUUACUGGGCGUAAAGCGUGCGUAGACGGCUAUCUAAGUCGGGUGUGAAAGCCCCGGGCUCAACCUGGGAAUUGCAUUCGAGACUGAAUAGCUAGGGUACGGUAGAGGGAAGUGGAAUUUCCGGUGUAGCGGUGAAAUGCGUAGAUAUCGGAAGGAACAUCAGUGGCGAAAGCGACUUCCUGGACCAGUACCGACGUUCAGGCACGAAAGCGUGGGGAGCAAACAGG